AGCGUGCAGAACUUCGCGGCACGCGUUAUUACUGGAAUCAGAAAAUAUGACCAUGUGACGCCUAUCCUUCAGCAGUUAGCUUGGCUUCCAGUUGAGUGCAUGUUAAAACUCAGUGAUGCGCGGUUAUGACAUUUAAGUGCAUGAAAGGGUUAGCUCCACCAUACUUGUGUGACAAAUUCGAAAUGAGAUUAAAGAUCCACAGUGUUAACACCAGAAAUAAGGAUAAGUUAGACAUUCCACUGUAUAAUUCGGCUUCUGGACAGCGAACGUUUCAUUAUCGCGCAGUGUCUAUUUGCAAUGAGCCCCCAAAUCGUAUUAAAGACAUUGACCCUUUGGACCGGUUUAAAAUAGAAUAUAAACGUCAUUUAUCGCAUGGAUUUUUAAAAAGUAGGUAAUAGUAUUAGACAAUUUGGACUUGUUUAAAUUAGCAUAUAAACGUUUUUACUGUAUGGAUUUUAUUAGGAA